rnacentral:rRNA from 1 species
UGCUUUGGACUUUUGCUCCAUUCCAAGUCCUUUGGAAAAGGGCAUCAUAGAGAGUGAAAAUCUCGUAGGAUUGGAUGCACUGUCCGUGUAAAGCUCCUUCGAAGAGUCGAGUUGUUUGGGAAUGCAGCUCUAAGUGGGACGUAAAUUUGUUCCAAAGCUAAAUAUCAGCUAGAGACCGAUAGCGCACAAGUAGAGUGAUCGAAAGAUGAAAAGCACUUUGAAAAGAGAGUUAAAAAGCACGUGAAAUUGUUGAAAGGGAAGCUCAUGCAGCCAGACAUGAUUUCGAGGCUCAGCCUUAUGGUGUAUUCUUCGAAGUCAGGCUAGCAUCAGUUUGGACAGAUGGAUAAAAGU